GAUGAACGCUGGCGGCGUGCCUAAUACAUGCAAGUCGAGCGAACGGACGAGAAGCUUGCUUCUCUGAUGUUAGCGGCGGACGGGUGAGUAACACGUGGAUAACCUACCUAUAAGACUGGGAUAACUUCGGGAAACCGUAGCUAAUACCGGAUAAUAUUUUGAACCGCAUGGUUCAAAAGUGAAAGACGGUCUUGCUGUCACUUAUAGAUGGAUCCGCGCUGCAUUAGCUAGUUGGUAAGGUAACGGCUUACCAAGGCAACGAUGCAUAGCCGACCUGAGAGGGUGAUCGGCCACACUGGAACUGAGACACGGUCCAGACUCCUACGGGAGGCAGCAGUAGGGAAUCUUCCGCAAUGGGCGAAAGCCUGACGGAGCAACGCCGCGUGAGUGAUGAAGGUCUUCGGAUCGUAAAACUCUGUUAUUAGGGAAGAACAUAUGUGUAAGUAACUGUGCACAUCUUGACGGUACCUAAUCAGAAAGCCACGGCUAACUACGUGCCAGCAGCCGCGGUAAUACGUAGGUGGCAAGCGUUAUCCGGAAUUAUUGGGCGUAAAGCGCGCGUAGGCGGUUUUUUAAGUCUGAUGUGAAAGCCCACGGCUCAACCGUGGAGGGUCAUUGGAAACUGGAAAACUUGAGUGCAGAAGAGGAAAGUGGAAUUCCAUGUGUAGCGGUGAAAUGCGCAGAGAUAUGGAGGAAUACCAGUGGCGAAGGCGACUUUCUGGUCUGUAACUGACGCUGAUGUGCGAAAGCGUGGGGAUCAAACAGGAUUAGAUACCCUGGUAGUCCACGCCGUAAACGAUGAGUGCUAAGUGUUAGGGGGUUUCCGCCCCUUAGUGCUGCAGCUAACGCAUUAAGCACUCCGCCUGGGGAGUACGACCGCAAGGUUGAAACUCAAAGGAAUUGACGGGGACCCGCACAAGCGGUGGAGCAUGUGGUUUAAUUCGAAGCAACGCGAAGAACCUUACCAAAUCUUGACAUCCUUUGACAACUCUAGAGAUAGAGCCUUCCCCUUCGGGGGACAAAGUGACAGGUGGUGCAUGGUUGUCGUCAGCUCGUGUCGUGAGAUGUUGGGUUAAGUCCCGCAACGAGCGCAACCCUUAAGCUUAGUUGCCAUCAUUAAGUUGGGCACUCUAAGUUGACUGCCGGUGACAAACCGGAGGAAGGUGGGGAUGACGUCAAAUCAUCAUGCCCCUUAUGAUUUGGGCUACACACGUGCUACAAUGGACAAUACAAAGGGCAGCGAAACCGCGAGGUCAAGCAAAUCCCAUAAAGUUGUUCUCAGUUCGGAUUGUAGUCUGCAACUCGACUACAUGAAGCUGGAAUCGCUAGUAAUCGUAGAUCAGCAUGCUACGGUGAAUACGUUCCCGGGUCU
rnacentral:rRNA from 1 species